UGUGGGGCAGCACUGAGCGCUGGACCUCAUGAAUCUGCAGGGUGAUGACAUCAGGGUGGUCUCAUCAGAGGAUAAUCCUCCAAUCAGAAAAAGCCAAGCUGAGAAUUCAGCUCUUACCCAAGAAGACCAGAACCCUGAGCUCAGAGAGGCACACUGCUGCCCACCUGGCCGUGCAACGGGCUCCAGGCUCCUCUGCCGGGCUAUGCUUUGUCUUUUGGGAGGAGGCCCAGUGGAGGCUGGAGUCACUGAAACACCAAGAUACCUGAUCAAAACAACAGGACAGGCAGUGACGCUGAGAUGUUCUACUGUCUCUAAGCACUCUGGUGUAUCUUGGUACCAACAGGCCCUGAGUCAGGACCCACACCUCCUCUUUGAGUUUUAUGAAAAUGUGCAAAGAGCAAAAGGAGAAAUCCCGAAUCGAUUCUCAGCACAGCAGCUCCGUGACUAUCGCUCUGAGCUGAACGUGAGCGUCUUGGAGCUGAUGGACUCGGCCCUGUAUCUCUGUGCCAGCAGUGUGGCACAGCCCUGCAGAAUCACCAGUGUUCUGUGCACAAACCUCCUCGUCUUGUCUCUAAUAGUGAGAGAGCACGCAGGCUCCAUCUGGUUUCACUUCUUCCGGGGAAGCAUUUAA